GCUGGGGGCUGAAACCCAUGCCUCUCCUUCUCCCUCUCAGCUGGUCCUUCUCAGUUCUCCUGACCUAAGAGGCCGUGCAGCCGUUUGCUGGUUCUGUCACUGGAACGUGGUACUUCUUUCAGACUCAGCUUCCUCAUUCCUACAGUGGGGGAUAAUAAUACUAUCCUCACAGAGUUGUCUUAAGUACUGAAGAAAAUCAUGGAUAUAAAGUACUUCACGGAACGCCAUGUUCAUGCAGACCCAGCAGACUGGAUGUAGGAGGAGAGAAGAUGGCAGCUAGUGCUCACGAGAGAGUGAGUGAUAUCAAGUCUCUUGCAGUUCUAAAGAUUCUCCAGGGAAGCUUCCUUCCAAGCAGUGAAUGACUGAGAAAUCCAGUCCGUUUGCCGGAAUUAAUCACACAGUCCUGCCUAACUGCACAAGGGCCAGGUACACGGGAAGAAGAAAGGAACCAGCUUUGGGAUAUAAUUGUCAAGACACUGGAAUCAAGAUGAAUGGAAGCUGAAAUAAUCUGGAAAGCAGAAUGGGUGGCAGUUAAAGGAACCUGGAGAAGUGACUGGCCAAGCAGAAGCAAGGGACUGAGAGAGAUGAUGGUUGCCUUCCGGUGGUUGUUUGAAAUGGGUUUUCUGGACCGUUAUGAAAGAAUCAUGGCCACCAAAAUUCCCUCAUCUAAUCUACCUGAGAGAUACCUAUGGUGGCUCUCAAUUGGCUCUCAAGUUGAAUUCCAUUUCCUGAUCCUGGGUGGAGCAUACAACCUGUUUGUCCUAUCAUCUGGCGACGCACAUUUGUUAAUGUCAAGCUUUGGAAAGAUUAGAUCCUCUAUGUGUCAUGGCUGUUAUACUACUUUUUCUGUUUCAUUUUCAAGCAGCUCUAUUGAAGUAUGAUUGAUAUACAAGGAAUUGCACAUAUUUAAUGUGUACAAUUUUAUGAGUUUGGACAUAGGCAAACACCUAUGAUACCAUCACCACAAUCAAGACUCCAUCAAAGGUUCCCAACUUCAAACAUUAAUUUCUUCUGUAGGUUUCACGAAGUUUCGCACAGGGAGCUAUUGAGAAGCAAGAAAUCUGAUGAUGAGGCAGAGUUCUUUUGUGACUAGAAGAGGUGAAACCCCUGUAAAAUGCAGAAGACUUGUCAAAAUUAUUAUUUUGGUCUUAUACUAAAGUAUAGCUCGUAGAUUAACGAAAAUCCACACAAAGUAAAAGAUAAACAGGAUACCUUAGGCACAAAGCACAUUUAAUCAUGAAUUCCAGAGAAUUCGUUCAAGUAUGAUUACUGGAUUCAGUGGUUGUAAGUGGCCAGAUGUGCUGUGUAUAGUGACGCAUUUGACUGCUAGUUGUCCCCUCUAAAUCUGCUGUACCUUUCUCCCUGGUCAUGUAGGGCAACCCAAAUGGAGACCAUAGUCCCCAGCCUCCUUUGCAGCCAUGUAUGGCCACUCAACUAAACUCUUGCUAAUAAAAUAGAAGCACAAGCAAUGUUUGCUCGAUCUGGACUUCCUCUGUUUCCUCUUCACACGUGCUGGAAGCCAAAUGAGGCAGCGGAGAACGCUGGGCAGAGGAGGGCUGCAUGCUAGGGGAUGGCACAGCACCAACGGGGAAGGAUAUCUUGAUGUCAUUGAGCCAUGUCUCUAAUCUACAUGUCGAAUUUGCAUGAGAAAGAAAUACACUUCUGUAUUGUAGCCAAUGUAUGUUUUUAUCUUUGUUGUGGAAGACAAUCUUUAUCCUAACUAAGCCAGAUAGGGUUUUUUUGUUGUUGUUGUCCUUGAUUAAUCAUUUUUAGUAUGCUUUCAACUUAUAAAUGGAAUAUGGAAUAAAUAUUUUAUUAUUUUCAUGAUAAAAAUGCUUUAUAUUUCUGUAGGGUAUUUCUUUUAUCAGGAUCUUUCUCCAUAUUCUGCUCUAUGAUAGUUACAACAAUCCUGUGGUGGCAGUUAAGAUGAUUCAUUAUCCCUAUUAUACAAGGAAGGAAACAAGUUGAUUCGCAAUUGGACCUUGAUCUUUCCAAAUUAUCUCAGGAACUUGUACAAGUUCAGAGGAAAUGUAGAUUGAUGACUAUAUAUUAAUGUCAAUGAAAAAUAUUUUAUUAAAUUAAAACCCACGAUUUUAAUAAGGUAUCUCACUCUUUUGUAGAACUUAAUAAAUAUAGCUUUUUAAAACUGCAUUCAUUUAACUAAUUUAUCUCUUUAAUAAAAUAAAAAUAUAUUAAUUAGUGCAUUUUCAAAUUAAAUGUCUGAAAUAUUAAGAAAUCUUACAUUUACUUUCUUUUUCUAUUUAUAAAUGUAGCAAAUUUGGAAAAUAUAAAGGAGAUGUUAAAAAUUACUCAUAGUCCUAAAUAAUUCAAAUUAAACACUAUUAAUCUUCAUCAAAAUUAUUUUAGUAAUUUCAUGGAUAUCCAUGUUUUCAUGAAUUUAUGAACGAAUUUUUAAAUGACAUAUUUUAUACUUGCUUAUUGUAAAACUAAGUAACAGAGGAAAGAAAAAUCUGAAAAUUAUGUGUAACUACAAGACUCAGAGAUAACUACUGUUAAUAUAUGUGUAUACUUAUUUACAAAAAUAAAAAAUGCUGUUUUAAACAUUUUCACUUAAUGAUAAUGGCUAACAUUCAAGAUCCCCAUUAGGGCCAGGCGCUGCACUACAAAUGUUCCACCCAUUUACCUUGUUUAACAUUCAGAAGAAGCCUGUAAGGUAAGUGCUAUAAUUAUCACCAUCUUUACACAAGGAGGAACUGAGGCUUGGGUAUGUUAAACAACUUAGGAAUCAUAAUGAAGGUAUGAAAGUAUCAAAUAGUGUCACAGGUUGUCUGUAUGCAAAACCUGCACUCCAGACAUUUUGCUAUGCUAUUUGAAUGUCAAGAAACAUGACGCUGCAAUGUAUCCCAUCCUAUGCAUAUGCCACAAGUGUCCCAAUCAAUCUUUUACUUCUGGCUAUAUAAGUUGUUUCCUAAUAUUAACAGCAUGUAUUUGUUGUUAAACCUUC
ensembl:lncRNA